GCGUUGUUCGUAUUUACUGGUCGUAAAGGUCGCGUAGGCGGCGUGACAAGUCAAUUGUGCAAUCUCCGGGCUUAACUCGGAACGGUCAAUUGAUACUGUUGUGCUAGAGUACAGAAGGGGCAAUCGGAAUUCUUGGUGUAGCGGUGAAAUGCGUAGAUAUCAAGAGGAACACCUGAGGUGAAGACGGGUUGCUGGGCUGAUACUGACGCUGAGGCGCGGAAGCUAG
rnacentral:rRNA from 1 species